rnacentral:rRNA from 1 species
AAAGAAUUUCGGAAACGGAUAGGCUCGCGUGACAUUAGCUAGAUGGCGGGGUAACGGCCCACCAUGGCAACGAUGUCUAGGGGUUCUGAGAGGAAGGUCCCCCACACUGGAACUGAGACACGGUCCAGACUCCUACGGGAGGCAGCAGUGAGGAAUAUUGGUCAAUGGUCUAACGACUGAACCAGCCAUGCCGCGUGAAGGUCACGGCCCUAUGGGUCUUAAACUUCUUUUGUAAGGGAGCAAUAAGCUUUACGUGUAGAGUGAUGAGAGUACCUUACGAAUAAGCAUCGGCUAACUCCGUG